rnacentral:rRNA from 1 species
GGGACGGGUGAGUAACACGUGGAUAACCUACCUAUAAGACUGGGAUGACUUCGGGAAACCGGAGCUAAUACCGGAUAAUAUAUUGAACCGCAUGGUUCAAUAGUGAAAGACGGUUUUGCUGUCACUUAUAGAUGGAUCCGCGCCGCAUUAGCUAGUUGGUAAGGUAACGGCUUACCAAGGCAACGAUGCGUAGCCGACCUGAGAGGGUGAUCGGCCACACUGGAACUGAGACACGGUCCAG